UUACGCUGUUAUCCCUUAGGUAAUUUAGUCUUUUAAUCAACAAAAAUGGAUCAAAGAAUUAUAUAUAAAUAUAUAAAUAAAAAAAAGAGUUUAUUAAUUCAUUUUUAUCACCCCAACAAAAUAAAUUAUAUAAUAAGUACAUUUAACAAACAAAACAAUAAUAAAGUUUAUUAAACUCUAUAGGGUCUUCUCGUCCCAUAAAAAAAUUUAAGCAUUUUAACUUAAACUUUAAAUUCAAAAUAUAUUAUUAAGAAACAGAAUAUUCCUCGUCCAACCAUUCAUUCUAGUCCCCAAUUAAAAGACUAAUGAUUAUGCUACCUUUGCACGGUCAAAAUACCGCGGCCCUUCAAAAUCUAAUCAGUGGGCAGGUUAUACUUCAAAAAUAAAAACAAGAAGAGAUGUUUUUGAUAAACAGGCG
rnacentral:rRNA from 1 species